CAGGAGAGGAGGGAGUGAGAGCUGCUGUUUCAUUUAAGGUAAAAUUUGGUUACAGAAUGAUCAGUUUCUGCUGUCUAAGAAGUCUAAUAAUUAAUCUUGUGGUAUACCAGGCAAGCUAAGUGUGUAGAGCAUGACCCCAAGGAAGGAAACACUCACAUUUGUAUAGCAGC
rnacentral:lncRNA from 1 species